UACGUAGGUGGCAAGCGUUGUCCGGAUUUACUGGGCGUAAAGAGCGCGCAGGCGGUCGUCCAAGUCGCGUGUGAAAGCCCCCGGCUCAACUGGGGAGGGUCACGCGAUACUGGUCGACUCGAAGGCAGGAGAGGGAAGUGGAAUUCCCGGUGUAGUGGUGAAAUUCGUAGAUAUCGGGAGGAACACCAGUGGCGAAGGCGACUUCCUGGCCUGUUCUUGACGCUGAGGCGCGAAAGCUAGGGGAGCAAACGGG
rnacentral:rRNA from 1 species